rnacentral:rRNA from 1 species
ACAGCUACACAGCGAUGUGAUGCUAAUCUCCAAACCAUGUCUCAGUUCGGAUCGGAGUCUGCAACUCGACUCCGUGAAGCUGGAUUCGCUAGUAAUCGCGCAUCAGCCAUGGCGCGGUGAAUACGUUCCCGGGCCUUGUACACACCGCCCGUCAAGCCAUGGGAGCCGGGGGUACCUGAAGUCCGUAACCGCGAGGAUCGGCCUAGGGUAAAACUGGUGACUGGGGCUAAGUCGUAACAAGGUAGC